AAAGGAAUAGACGGGGGCCCGCACAAGCAGUGGAGUAUGUGGUUUAAUUCGAAGCAACGCGAAGAACCUUACCAGGGUUUGACAUGAUAACGAAGGCGGCAGAGAUGCCGAGGUCCUUCGGGACGUUAUCACAGGUGGUGCAUGGUUGUCGUCAGCUCGUGUCGUGAGAUGUUGGGUUAAGUCCCGCAACGAGCGCAACCCUUGUUGCCAGUUGCCAGCAUGAAAGAUGGGCACUCUGGCGAGACUGCCGGUGACAAAUCGGAGGAAGGUGGGGACGAUGUCAAAUCAUCAUGCCCUUUAUGUCCUGGGCUACACACGUACUACAAUGGCUAUUACAGCGGGGAGCCAUGCCGCAAGGCAGAGCGAAUCCCAAAAAAUAGCCCCAGUUCAGAUCGUGGGCUGAAACCCGCCCGCGUGAAGUCGGAAUUGCUAGUAAUUGCAGGUCAGCAUACUGCAGUGAAUACGUUCCCGGGCCUUGUACACACCGCCCGU
rnacentral:rRNA from 1 species